rnacentral:rRNA from 1 species
AUUGAACGCUGGCGGCAGGCCUAACACAUGCAAGUCGAGCGGAGCGGCGGACGGGUGAGUAAUGCCUAGGAAUCUGCCUGUUAGUGGGGGAUAACGUCCGGAAACGGGCGCUAAUACCGCAUACUAUCAGAUGAGCCUAGUUCGGAUUCGCUAGUUGGUGGGGUAAAGGCCUACUAAGGCGACUAUCCGUAACUGGUCUGAGAGGAGGAUCAGCCACACUGGGACUGAGACACGUUCCAGCCUCCUACGGGAGGCAGCAGUGGGGAAUAUUGGACAAUGGGCGAAAGCCUGAUCCAGCCAUGCCGCGUGUGUGAAGAAGGUCUUAGGAUUGUAAAGCACUUUAAGGUGGGAGGCGUUACCCACAGAAUAAGCACCGGCUAACUUCGUGCCAGCAGCCGCGGUAAUUC